rnacentral:pre_miRNA from 1 species
UUAACUCAAAUUUGUAUGGAGUUGGAACAGCGCCCCUAGCGGCAAACGUAGGCAAACGUUCCAACUCUAUACAAAUUUGACUUA